AUAUCUCUCUGUACGGGAAGGAUGAGAAGCUUCGACUAAGGUUCGAUUCGAGCGCAGCGAGAAAGCGUUGCCGUAGGCAAC
rnacentral:sRNA from 1 species